rnacentral:misc_RNA from 1 species
UCAAGAACAAUGGAGUGCACGGACAUCCGAGCGAUCUCAGAAAUUGCAGCCUCUCUAUCACCAGGCACUUCACUGGUCAGGUCCUCGUACGCAGCCUCGAAUGCCUCUUGCCAGAAACGCGGUAGCCUGAUCCGGCGAUUAUUUGUAUAAACGUCCCACAUGUGCUUCACUAUCUUCUCCCUUUCCUCCAUCUCAAGCACAUCGAGAUCGUCAUGGAUGUUAAAAUCGAUAUCAUCAGAUAGGCCGUUGAGAUUACCGGCG